ensembl:snRNA U1 U1 spliceosomal RNA
AGGUGAGAUAUCAUGAUCAAGAAGGUGGUUCACCCAGGACGAAGCUCAGCGAUUGCUUCGGUUGUGCUGACACCUGUGAAUUCCCCAAAUGUGGGAAUCUUGA